rnacentral:rRNA from 1 species
AACGUAGGAGACAAACGUUAUCCGGAGUUACUGGGCGUAAAGGGCGUGUAGGCGGUUCGUUAAGUCUGGCGUGAAAGCUCUCGGCUAAACCGGGAGAGGUCGUUGGAUACUGGCAAACUAGAGGACGGUAGAGGCGUGUGGAAUUCCGGGUGGAGUGGUGAAAUGCGUAGAGAUCCGGAGGAACACCAGAGGCGAAGGCGGCCUGCUGGGCUGCACCUGACGCUGAACCGCGAAAGCCAGGGGAGCGAACGGG